rnacentral:rRNA from 1 species
GACGAACGCUGGCGGCGUGCCUAACACAUGCAAGUCGAACGGAGAUAUGAUUUCGGUUAUAUCUUAGUGGCGAACGGGUGAGUAACGCGUGAGCAACCUGACCUUCAGAGGGGAGUAACACUUGGAACAGGUGCUAAUACCGCAUAAGACCACGACCCGACAUCGGGAUGCGGUCAAAGGAGCAAUCCGCUGAGGGAGGGGCGUCGCGUCCCAUUAGAUAGAUGGCGGGGUAACGGCCCACCAUGUCGACGAUGGGUAGCCGAGCUGAGAGGCUGAUCGGCCACACUGGAACUGAGACACGGUCCAGACUCCUACGGGAGGCAGCAGUGGGGAAUAUUGGGCAAUGGGCGCAAGCCUGACCCAACAACGCCGCGUGAGGGAAGAAGGCC